UGCGUAGGCGGAUCAAUAAGUCAGUGGUGAAAUCUCUCGGCUCAACCGGGAAACUGCCAUUGAUACUGUUGAUCUUGAGUUCGGUUGAGGUAGGCGGAAUGUGUAAUGUAGCGGUGAGAUGCUUAGAUAUUACACAGAACACCAAUUGCGUAGGCAGCUUACUAGACCGACACUGACGCUGAGGCACGAAAGCGUGGGGAGCGAACAGGAUUAGAUACCCUGGUAGUCC
rnacentral:rRNA from 1 species